GCAGGCGGCCAAGAAGGCCAAGGCGGGCGCCACCCGCGCAGCUCAGUCGGCCUGGAGCUCAAGGCAUCUGCGAUGAGUGAGACCUCUUCCAUCCCAGUGGAAAUUCCUGGUCUGCGGAGAAGAGAAAGGACCCCUGAAUUCUGAUGGUUGGAAAUGUCCUGUCGGUUUCUCAAGGGGAUUAACAUCUCUCCGACUCUUGCCCUGCAAAGCCAUCACUUGUACAGGGCAGAGACAGCCGACCGCCCAGGGUGGAAAAUGGAGACAACUGGCUUUCCACGCCUUUCCCAGAAGCAUUUCUGGCCGAGGGAGGAGAGCACAAGGCCUCGGCGCUGGCCCUGCCGGGUUCAUGGCCCUGAGCAGCAGGUGCCCAGAGGGGAAGAAGGGGCUGCAGUGGUGGCAGCCGCGUGUCACCCAACGUGGAAAGCGAGGGGCUUUGGUCCAGAGCUGGUUCAUCUGCCUCCCACAGGCUCAGACUCAGCCCUGGAGGUGCCCCAGGCUGUAGGACAUGAGCCCCCAAGCUGGGUAGGGGCUGCAGGAGAAAGGGGUGUUCAAGGUGGGGGGGCCACGGCAGGGAACACCCUCGGCUUGGGCCCCUUCUGGUUGACAGCCCACUGA
rnacentral:lncRNA from 1 species